rnacentral:rRNA from 1 species
AUUGAACGCUGGCGGCAGGCUUAACACAUGCAAGUCGAACGAGUGGCGGACGGGUGAGUAAUGCUUGGGAAUCUGGCUUAUGGAGGGGGAUAACGACGGGAAACUGUCGCUAAUAACGCCUACCCUAGGAUUAGCCCAAGUGGGAUUAGGUAGUUGGGGGGGUAAUGGCCUACCAAGCCGACGAUCUCUAGCUGAUUUGAGAGGGUGACCAGCAAAACCGGGAGUGAGAACCGGCCCGGACUCCUAGGGGAGGCAGCGGUGGGGAAGAUUGCGCAAUGGGGGCAACCGGACGCGGCCAUGCCGCGUGAAUGAAGAAGGCCGUCGGGUUUUAAAGUUCUUUCGGUGACGAGGCGUUAAUCACAGAAGAAGCACCGGCUAACUCCGUGCCAGCCGCCGCGGUAAUAC